GGAGAGAUGGCCGAGUGGUCGAAGGCAACCGAUUGCUAAUCGGUUGAGGGGUAAAAAACCCCUCCCAGGGUUCGAAUCCCUGUCUCUCCG
rnacentral:tRNA from 1 species